rfam:Chryseobacterium sp. IHB B 17019, complete genome.
UCAUAGCCCAGAUAGUAACGGCAUCCUUUUUUGUUGCGGGCGGAGCGAAGCGGAGGCCGUAACAAAAAAGAUACAGUGGAUAGCUGGAUAAAGC